rnacentral:rRNA from 1 species
UACGGAGGAUGCGAGCGUUAUCCGGAUUUAUUGGGUUUAAAGGGUGCGUAGGCGGGUUUGUAAGUCAGUGGUGAAAGACUGUCGCUUAACGAUAGCAUUGCCAUUGAUACUGCAGAUCUUGAGUACAGUUGAGGUAGGCGGAAUGUGUAGUGUAGCGGUGAAAUGCUUAGAUAUUACACAGAACACCAAUUGCGAAGGCAGCUUACUAAAGUGUAACUGACGCUGAGGCACGAAAGCGUGGGGAU